rnacentral:snRNA from 1 species
ACAACACGGUUGGCACUGGUGU